GUGGGAUUAGCUAGUUGGUGAGGUAAUGGCUCACCAAGGCGACGAUCCCUAGCUGUUCUGAGAGGAUGAUCAGCCACACUGGGACUGAGACACGGCCCAGACUCCUACGGGAGGCAGCAGUGGGGAAUAUUGCACAAUGGGGGAAACCCUGAUGCAGCCAUGCCGUGUGUGUGAAGAAGGCCUUCGGGUUGUAAAGCACUUUCAGUAGGGAGGAAAGGUAGCAGCUUAAUACGCUGUUGCUGUGACGUUACCUACAGAAGAAGGACCGGCUAACUCCGUGCCAGCAGCCGCGGUAAUACGGAGGGUCCGAGCGUUAAUCGGAAUUACUGGGCGUAAAGCGUGCGCAGGCGGUUUGUUAAGCGAGAUGUGAAAGCCCCGGGCUCAACCUGGGAAUUGCAUUUCGAACUGGCGAACUAGAGUCUUGUAGAGGGGGGUAGAAUUCCAGGUGUAGCGGUGAAAUGCGUAGAGAUCUGGAGGAAUACCGGUGGCGAAGGCGGCCCCCUGGACAAAGACUGACGCUCAGGCACGAAAGCGUGGGGAGCAAACAGGAUUAGAUACCCCGGUAGUCCACGCCGUAAACGAUGUC
rnacentral:rRNA from 1 species